rnacentral:rRNA from 1 species
UAUCAUGCAGUCGAGCGACUGAUUAGAAGCUUGCUUCUAUGACGUUAGCGGCGGACGGGUGAGUAACACGUGGGCAACCUGCCUGUAAGACUGGGAUAACUUCGGGAAACCGAAGCUAAUACCGGAUAGGAUCUUCUCCUUCAUGGGAGAUGAUUGAAAGAUGGUUUCGGCUAUCACUUACAGAUGGGCCCGCGGUGCAUUAGCUAGUUGGUGAGGUAACGGCUCACCAAGGCAACGAUGCAUAGCCGACCUGAGAGGGUGAUCGGCCACACUGGGACUGAGACACGGCCCAGACUCCUACGGGAGGCAGCAGUAGGGAAUCUUCCGCAAUGGACGAAAGUCUGACGGAGCAACGCCGCGUGAGUGAUGAAGGCUUUCGGGUCGUAAAACUCUGUUGUUAGGGAAGAACAAGUACAAGAGUAACUGCUUGUACCUUGACGGUACCUAACCAGAAAGCCACGGCUAACUACGUGCCAGCAGCCGCGGUAAUACGUAGGUGGCAAGCGUUAUCCGGAAUUAUUGGGCGUAAAGCGCGCGCAGGCGGUUUCUUAAGUCUGAUGUGAAAGCCCACGGCUCAACCGUGGAGGGUCAUUGGAAACUGGGGAACUUGAGUGCAGAAGAGAAAAGCGGAAUUCCACGUGUAGCGGUGAAAUGCGUAGAGAUGUGGAGGAACACCAGUGGCGAAGGCGGCUUUUUGGUCUGUAACUGACGCUGAGGCGCGAAAGCGUGGGGAGCAAACAGGAUUAGAUACCCUGUAGUCCACGCCGUAAACGAUGAGUGCUAAGUGUUAGAGGGUUUCCGCCCUUUAGUGCUGCAGCUAACGCAUUAAGCACUCCCGCCUGGGGAGUACGGUCGCAAGACUGAAACUCAAAGGAAUUGACGGGGGCCCGCACAAGCGUGGACAUGUGGUUUAAUUCGAAGCACCCCGAAAAACCUUACCCAGGUCUUGACAUCCCUCUUACAACUCCUAAAAAUAGAACGUUCCCCUUCCGGGGAACAAAUGA